UCUUCCUACGGGAGGCAGCAGUAGGGAAUAUUGCUCAAUGGGGGAAACCCUGAAGCAGCAACGCCGCGUGGAGGAUGAAGGUUUUCGGAUUGUAAACUCCUUUUGUUAGAGAAGAUAAUGACGGUAUCUAACGAAUAAGCACCGGCUAACUCCGUGCCAGCAGCCGCGGUAAUACGGAGGGUGCAAGCGUUACUCGGAAUCACUGGGCGUAAAGAGCGCGUAGGCGGGAUAGCAAGUCAGAUGUGAAAUCCUGUAGCUUAACUACAGAACUGCAUUUGAAACUGUUACU
rnacentral:rRNA from 1 species